rnacentral:rRNA from 1 species
AACAUGUCUUUUUGAAUUUAAUUUAAAGUCUAAUCUGCUCAAUGAUUAAUUAAAUAGCUGCAGUAUUUUAACUGUACAAAGGUAGCAUAAUAAUUAGUUCCUUGAUUAGGAACUUGUAUGAAUGAUUGGACAAGAAAAUUGCUGUCUUUUUAUAAAUAAUUUUUAAAUUUUAUUUUUAAGUUAAAAAGCUUAAAUUUUUUUAAAAGACGAGAAGACCCUAUAGAGUUUAAUUUUUUUAUUGUUUAAUAUUAGUAAAUUUUUAAUAGGAAAAUUUAGUUGGGGUGACUUAAAGAUGAAAUUAAUUCUUUAAUUAUUAAAUUGAUGAUUAUUAAUUUAUAAAUUUAGCUUUUAAAUUUAAAAUAAAUUACCUUAGGGAUAACAGCGUAAUUUUUUUUAGAAGUUCUUAUUUAAGGAAAAGUUUGCGACCUCGAUGUUGGAUUAAAAUUAAUUUUUGGUGAAGUAGCUUAAAAAUUAGGUCUGUUCGACCUUUAAAAUUUUACAUGAUCUGAGNUCCAGACCCGGA